rnacentral:rRNA from 1 species
GUUUAACGGCCGCGGUAUUUUAACCGUGCAAAGGUAGCGCAAUCACUUGUCUUUUAAAUGAAGACCCGUAUGAAUGGCACCACGAGGGCUUAACUGUCUCCUUUUUCCUGUCAAUGAAAUUGAUCUUCCCGUGCAGAAGCGGGGAUAAACACAUAAGACGAGAAGACCCUGUGGAACUUAUAGGCUUUAGCAGAUUAUGUAAAUUAACCAGUAUAAACCUGAGCGAACAAUUAACCCCUGCUUACGAAUGCCUUUGGUUGGGGCGACCAUGGGGGAACAAAAACCCCCCACGUGGACUAAGAGCACAAUAAUUAACCCUCUUAAAACCCAGGAUUACUAUCCUAAGUAACAGAAUUUCUGACCUAUACAGGAUCCGGCACCAGGCCGAUCAACGAAUCAAGCUACCCCAGGGAUAACAGCGCAAUCCCCUCCUAGAGUCCCUAUCGACGAAGGGGUUUACGACCUCGAUGUUGGAUCAGGACAUCCUAUUGGUGUAGCCGCUAUUAAGGGUUCGUUUGUUCAACGAUU